UUAAAAUGUAAUUAAAAACACUAAGGUAGUAUUAGUUAUGUUCUUGAAACUUAAAAAAUUUGGCGGUAUUUUAGUCUAUUCAGAGGAACCUGUUCUAUAAUCGAUAAUCCACGAUGGACCUUACUUAAGUUUGUUAAUCAGUUUAUAUACCGUCGUUAUUAGAAUAUUUUAUAAGAAUAAUAAUUUUCAUAAAAUUUUAUAAAAACAUAUAUCAGAUCAAGGUGUAGCUUAUAUUUAAGUAGAAAUGGGUUACAAUAAAAAUAUUUAUACGGAAAUAAUUAUGAAAAAAUUAUUUAAGGUGGAUUUGAUAGUAAAAUUAUAAAGAUUAAUAAUUUGAUUUUAGCUCUAAAAUAUGU
rnacentral:rRNA from 1 species